CGCAGGAGUCUUGAGAAGGGCUGUCCCUAGUACGAGAGGACCGGGACGGACGAACCUCUGGUGUGCCAGUUGUCCUGCCAAGGGCAUGGCUGGUUGGCUACGUUCGGGAGGGAUAACCGCUGAAAGCAUCUAAGCGGGAAGCCUGCUUCGAGAUGAGGACUCCCACCCACUUGAUGGGGUAAGGCUCCCAGUAGACGACUGGGUUGAUAGGCCAGAUAUGGAAGCCGGGUGACCGGUGGAGUUGACUGGUACUAAUAGGCCGA
rnacentral:ncRNA from 1 species